GGGAGCGUAGCUCAAUUGGUAGAGCAAUGGACUUUUAAUCCACAGGUUCUGAGUUCAAAUCUCAGUGUUCCCA
rnacentral:tRNA from 1 species